GAUGAACGCUGGCGGCGUGCCUAAUACAUGCAAGUCGAGCGAUCAGACGAGGAGCUUGCUCCUCUGACGUUAGCGGCGGACGGGUGAGUAACACGUGGAUAACCUACCUAUAAGACUGGGAUAACUUCGGGAAACCGGAGCUAAUACCGGAUAAUAUAUUGAACCGCAUGGUUCAAUAGUGAAAGACGGUUUUGCUGUCACUUAUAGAUGGAUCCGCGCCGCAUUAGCUAGUUGGUAAGGUAACGGCUUACCAAGGCAACGAUGCGUAGCCGACCUGAGAGGGUGAUCGGCCACACUGGAACUGAGACACGGUCCAGACUCCUACGGGAGGCAGCAGUAGGGAAUCUUCCGCAAAGGGCGAAAGCCUGACGGAGCAACGCCGCGUGAGUGAUGAAGGUCUUCGGAUCGUAAAACUCUGUUAUUAGGGAAGAACAAAUGUGUAAGUAACUAUGCACGUCUUGACGGCACCUAAUCAGAAAGCCACGGCUAACUACGUG
rnacentral:rRNA from 1 species